UGCUAUCCGUAUAUGAAACUAACACAAAAAUGCUCAUACAGGUACAGCUGCUUAGCAUAUGGAAACAGCUGUGACACACCUUUCCUGUCAUCAAGAGAAUGUGAAAGUCUCCCUCUUUUCCAGCACUGUGGUGGAAAUGGGUGACCCAAGGAACGUUUCCAGGAAGAACUCUGUCUCAGAGACACAGGAUCUUCUGCUCUGAGAUAAACAAUACAGAGGUGAUCUCUUUCUGCAUCAGGUAUGGCCUAAGUUAUAAAAGCUCAUCUUCAUUUGAAGAACUGGAUUUGUGGCUAAAAAUCCAUAGCUGUAACAGGAGUAGAGAAACUGAUGGGAGAAUUAAUCCUCUGCUACACCACAGAACAGAAGACUAGCAUGAUGCCGAGGAAGCCAAAGUGCUCAAGGACUCUUUUUCCCUUUCCCCCUUGGUACACAUAAAGAAGUCAAUUGUAAUCAGAUAUUUUAGAACAGUUGGCAAAAACAACAGAGGGUAAGGAUACAUGCUGUGAUCGAAGAGGGGGAAUGGGAAAGUCAGGGAAAGACCAAAGAGCUGCUUAAAGAUUGCCAUGACUUCUUAAAAUCCAUCGGAAGGGUUUAAGAAACUGGCUGAAGCAAUCUCAAGGUGAGGGGACUCUUCCACGAAACUGAAAACCUGGGUUUCAGAAGCUCGAGGGGAUUCAAGUUCAUAUCUCCUGCUUCCGAAGAAGUGCCCAGUGGUAAGUUGCCCACAGAUGUUCCCCAUCUUGUUAAAUCAAGGAUAUGUGCAAAAAAGAAUAGAAGUCACAAACCAGUUUUGUUCAAAGGUUGUUGGCAGUGAUAACUAUUACCGUUAGCAGAUGAAAGCAAGCUGCAGGUAGGAUUUCAAAGGGUACUGGAGUUUGCUUUUAUUGGACUAACUGUGCAGUUCCUUGCAAGUUCCAUAUUCUUUUCCUAAGAUGUUUCCUGAAGUAACAGUAAAAUAAGCAUACAAUAAAUAUAAGUACCCAUUAAAGCUUACUAAAGGAAUACCUUAUGUUUCCAGUAGAUGAACACUGAGAUAACUGAAUAUUUGUGAAUUGCAUCACAGACCUCUAUUAUGCCAAAGUUCUGGUUUUUAUUGCUAAAGAGAGCACCAGUAAAGGUGGCUUUAAGCUGCUUUAUGCUCCUACUUUCUCUAAAGCUGCUGAGAAGGGAAAGCAGGGAGCAACUAGCAGCAUUAAAGAACUUCAUGGCUGUUCAGCAACCAGCAAGGGGAUUCACCUCUUCCCUCCUUCAGUCUGCCGUCAAACUGUGUUCUUUUUUCUAUGUUUGAAGAGGCUUUUUGAGGGUUUUUUGUCAGGAGGGUUUACAAUCUCCCUCACCAAUUAGUGGCAUUGAUAAGAGCCUGUUCUGGGUUGAAGAUGAUUCAAAUAAUCUAUCCUGAUCAGAAAAAUUACACCAUUUUUCCUCUUCUGAGGCGUGGUUACUUCAUUUCCAAAUUAGGCUUAAACUUUAGGACUUCUUCACGGUUCUUGGAGUAUCUGUAAUUUUUAUUUUGUUCAAGCAAUUCUAGCACCUUGGAACAUACAGGUUACUUGCAGAGCUGUGAUGCUGUGAUCCCGUUAUUUUAUGCUUAUUCAGUAUCAAGUAAGCUUAUACUUACUUGAUAAGUAGCCUGAGAAAGGCGCUACCUUACGCUAUGAAAGUAUCUCAGUUUCCUCUAAAACUGCACCUUUUUUUUAGCUAUGAGCAGUUGUCCAGAGCAGGAGGUAUUUUUAAUGGUAAGGGACAAAUUCUUAGCUGUAUCCCUAUUUUUUUCACAUUUAUUUCAGAGUUCUUGU